CCUACGGGAGGCAGCAGUGGGGAAUAAUGGACAAUGGGGGCAACCCUGAUCCAGCGAUGCCGCGUGUGUGAAGAAGGUCUUCGGAUUGUAAAGCACUUUAAGUUGGGAGGAAGGGCAGUCAGUUAAUACCUUGCUGUCUUGACGUUACCAACAGAAUAAGCACCGGCUAACUUCGUGCCAGCAGCCGCGGUAAU
rnacentral:rRNA from 1 species